rnacentral:rRNA from 1 species
GACGAACGCUGGCGGCGUGCCUAAUACAUGCAAGUAGAACGCUGAAGAGAAGAGCUUGCUCUUCUUGGAUGAGUUGCGAACGGGUGAGUAACGCGUAGGUAACCUGCCUGGUAGCGGGGGAUAACUAUUGGAAACGAUAGCUAAUACCGCAUGAUAUUAAUUGUCGCAUGAUAAUUAAUUGAAAGAUGCAAUUGCAUCACUACCAGAUGGACCUGCGUUGUAUUAGCUAGUUGGUGAGGUAACGGCUCACCAAGGCGACGAUACAUAGCCGACCUGAGAGGGUGAUCGGCCACACUGGGACUGAGACACGGCCCAGACUCCUACGGGAGGCAGCAGUAGGGAAUCUUCGGCAAUGGGGGGAACCCUGACCGAGCAACGCCGCGUGAGUGAAGAAGGUUUUCGGAUCGUAAAGCUCUGUUGUAAGAGAAGAACGGGUGUGAGAGUGGAAAGUUCACACUGUGAU